UUCAGUUUCACAUCAGUGACAAAAGAGAUCUCUGUUAAAACAGGACCAGUGUUUGGGAAACAGAUCUCAGUGGUCGACACUCCAGGAAUCUGAGACAGCGAGGACAGUACAGAGGACAUUAAGAUCUACUGUCAGGAUCUACUGAAGUCCAACAAACCAUGUCUGUUCCUGGUGGUUCUCAGCAUCUGGAGGUUCCCUCUGGAGGAGCAGAAGGCUGCAGACACAGCUCUGAAGAGAAAGAAGGCAAACUCCCAGAUGUAGAGAAGAUGUUUUCAGGGACGUCUCACCUCUUCAACAAUGAGGAUGGAGAUCAGGAACAAGUCAAGAUCUGCUGCUGAAGACCAGAAACCUUGGAGAGCAUCAAGCACUGGACCCAGCAGCUGGUUUGGAGGUUCAGAGGAGGAUCGUUCUUCUUGGUCUACAUGGAGUUGGGAAGAGUUCUUCAGGAAACACCAUCCUGGGAUGUGAGAAGUUUAAAUCAGACUGUAACUUUAACUCAGUCAGUACAGAGUGUGUCUCUGAAUCAGAAUCAGUGGACGGUCGGCUGAUCCAAGUGGUCGACACUCCAGGAUUGGCUGAAGAAGUCCUGAAUCCUGAGCAGUUUGACAAGGAGAUCACGACGAUAUUAGUGGGUUUUGGGGUGGCAGUUGGGGUGCUAGGUGGCCUGGCCAGUAGUGUAAAAGGUGAGGUGGUGGUGGGUUGGUUAGUAGAUGGGGCAAUGGGUGGGUUGACAGGUGAAGUAUUAAGUGGAGUGGUGGUGGGUUGGUUAGUAUAUGGGUCAAUGACAGGUGGACUAUUAGGUGGGGUGUUAAGUGGGUUGAUACUUGCAUGUGAAGGCAGAGGGAAACGAGAUAAAAAUU